GUCCUACGGGGGGCAGCAGUGGGGAAUAUUGCACAAUGGGGGAAACCCUGAUGCAGCGACGCCGCGUGGGCGAGGAAGUACCUCGGUAUGUAAAGCCCUAUCAGCAGGGAAGAAACAGGACAGUACCUGACUAAGAAGCCCCGGCUAACUACGUGCCAGCAGCCGCGGUAAUACGUAGGGGGCAAGCGUUAUCCGGAUUUACUGGGUGUAAAGGGAGCGUAGACGGAAUUGCAAGUCUGAUGUGAAAAUCCGGGGCCCAACCCCGGAACUGCAUUGGAAACUGUAUUUCUAGAGUGUCGGAGAGG
rnacentral:rRNA from 1 species